CCCCGCCUGGGGAGUACGGCCGCAAGGCUAAAACUCAAAGGAAUUGACGGGGACCCGCACAAGCGGCGGAGCAUGCGGAUUAAUUCGAUGCAACGCGAAGAACCUUACCAAGGCUUGACAUAUACGAGAACGGGCCAGAAAUGGUCAACUCUUUGGACACUCGUAAACAGGUGGUGCAUGGUUGUCGUCAGCUCGUGUCGUGAGAUGUUGGGUUAAGUCCCGCAACGAGCGCAACCCUCGUUCUAUGUUGCCAGCACGUAAUGGUGGGAACUCAUGGGAUACUGCCGGGGUCAACUCGGAGGAAGGUGGGGAUGACGUCAAAUCAUCAUGCCCCUUAUGUCUUGGGCUUCACGCAUGCUACAAUGGCCGGUACAAAGGGCUGCAAUACCGUGAGGUGGAGCGAAUCCCAAAAAGCCGGUCCCAGUUCGGAUUGAGGUCUGCAACUCGACCUCAUGAAGUCGGAGUCGCUAGUAAUCGCAGAUCAGCAACGCUGCGGUGAAUACGUUCCCGGGUCUUGUACACACCGCCCGUCAAGUCAUGAAAGUCGGUAACACCUGAAGCC
rnacentral:rRNA from 1 species